rnacentral:tRNA from 1 species
GAGACUGUAGCUCAGUUGGUUAGAGCAUCUGAUUGUGGUCCAGAGGGUCACGGGUUCGAUUCCCGUCAGUCUCCCCA